UAACACAUGCAAGUCGAACGGUAACAGGAGAGAGCUUGCUCUCUUGCUGACGAGUGGCGGACGGGUGAGUAACGCGUAAGAAUCUGCCUAGUAGUGGGGGACAACUACCGGAAACGGUAGCUAAUACCGCAUACGCCCUACGGGGGAAAGUGGGGGACCUUCGGGCCUCACGCUAUUAGAUGAGCUUGCGUUAGAUUAGCUAGUUGGUGAGGUAAUGGCUCACCAAGGCGACGAUCUAUAGCUGGUUUGAGAGAACGAUCAGCCACACUGGGACUGAGACACGGCCCAGACUCCUACGGGAGGCAGCAGUGGGGAAUAUUGGACAAUGGGGGCAACCCUGAUCCAGCAAUACCGCGUGUGUGAAGAAGGCCUGAGGGUUGUAAAGCAACUUUCAGCAGUGAAGAAAAACUUAAGAUUAAUAACCUUAGGUCUUGACGUUAACUGCAGAAGAAGCACCGGCUAACUCCGUGCCAGCAGCCGCGGUAAUACGGGGGGUGCAAGCGUUAAUCGGAAUUACUGGGCGUAAAGCGCGCGUAGGUGGUUUGGUCAGUCGGAUGUGAAAGCCCUGGGCUCAACCUGGGAACUGCAUUCGAUACUGCCUGACUAGAGUGUGGUAGAGGGAAGUGGAAUUCCGGGUGUAGCGGUGAAAUGCGUAGAUAUCCGGAGGAACACCAGUGGCGAAGGCGGCUUCCUGGACCAACACUGACACUGAGGUGCGAAAGCGUGGGGAGCGAACAGGAUUAGAUACCCUGGUAGUCCACGCCGUAAACGAUGACAACUAGAUAUCUUGGGGGGCAUCUCCCUUUAGUGUCGAAGCUAACGCGUUAAGUUCUCCGCCUGGGGAGUACGGCCGCAAGGUUAAAACUCAAAUGAAUUGACGGGGGCCCGCACAAGCGGUGGAGCAUGUAGUUUAAUUCGAUGCAACGCGAAAAACCUUACCUACUCUUGACAUCCUGGAAACUUACUAGAGAUAGUUUGGUGCCUUCGGGAAUCCAGUGACGGGUGCUGCAUGGCUGUCGUCAGCUCGUGUCGUGAGAUGUUGGGUUAAGUCCCGUAACGAGCGCAACCCUUGCCCUUAGUUCCAGCACGUAAUGGUGGGAACUCUAGGGGGACUGCCGGUGAUAAACCGGAGGAAGGUGAGGAUGACGUCAAGUCAUCAUGGCCCUUAUGGGCUGGGCUACACACGUGCUACAAUGGCCGGUACAGAGGGCCGCAAACCCGCGAGGGGGAGCAAAUCUCACAAAACCGGUCGUAGUCCGGAUCGGAGUCUGCAACUCGACUCCGUGAAGUUGGAAUCGCUAGUAAUCGCGAAUCAGAAUGUCGCGGUGAAUACGUUCCCG
rnacentral:rRNA from 1 species